rnacentral:sRNA from 1 species
GCGACAAAGAUUAGCACCUUUAGGGGCUAUA